rnacentral:rRNA from 1 species
CCUACGGGGGGCUGCAGUGGGGAAUAUUGGACAAUGGGCGAAAGCCUGAUCCAGCCAUGCCGCGUGUGUGAAGAAGGCCUUCGGGUUGUAAAGCACUUUCAGUGGGGAAGAAAGCCUUGGGGCUAAUACCCUCGAGGAAGGACAUCACCCACAGAAGAAGCACCGGCUAACUCCGUGCCAGCAGCCGCGGUAAUACGGAGGGUGCGAGUGUUAAUCGGAAUUACUGGGCGUAAAGCGCGCGUAGGCGGUCUGAUAAGCCGGUUGUGAAAGCCCCGGGCUCAACCUGGGAACGGCAUCCGGAACUGUCAGGCUAGAGUGCAGGAGAGGAAGGUAGAAUUCCCGGUGUAGCGGUGAAAUGCGUAGAGAUCGGGAGGAAUACCAGUGGCGAAGGCGGCCUUCUGGACUGACACUGACGCUGAGGUGCGAAAGCGUGGGUAGCAAACAGGAUUAGAUACCCGGGUAGUC